UACAGAGGGUGGCUAGCGUUGUUCGGAAUCAUUGGGCGUAAAGGGCGUGUAGGCGGUUUGUUAAGUCAUGUGUGAAAUCCCUCGGCUCAACCGGGGAACGACGCAUGAAACUGGCAGCUAGAGUACCAAAGAGGGGGGUGGAAUUCCCGGUGUAGCGGUGAAAUGCGUAGAAUAUCGGGAGGAACACCUGUGGCGAAGGGCGGCCCCCUGGUUGGAUACG
rnacentral:rRNA from 1 species